GAAUCUUGCGCAAUGGCCGGAAGGCUGACGCAGCGACGCCGCGUGUGGGAGGAAGCCCUUCGGGGUGUAAACCACUGUUGCCCGGGACGAAUGCCCUUUUCGAGGGGAGUGACGGUACCGGGUGAGGAAGCACCGGCUAACUCCGUUCCAGCAGCCGCGGUAAUACGGAGGGUGCGAGCGUUGUCCGGAAUCACUGGGCGUAAAGGGCGCGUAGGCGGCUCGACAAGUCAACGGUGAAAGCUCGGGGCUCAACCCCGAGUCGGCCGUCGAUACUGUGGGGCUGGAGCACUGUAGAGGCAGGUGGAAUUCCGGGUGUAGCGGUGGAAUGCGUAGAGAUCCGGAAGAACACCGGUGGCGAAGGCGGCCUGCUGGGCAGUAGCUGACGCUGAGGCGCGACAGCGUGGGGAGCAAACAG
rnacentral:rRNA from 1 species